CAGUAGCCGCGGGAAUACGAAGGGUGCAAGCGUUACUCGGAAUUACUGGGCGUAAAGCGUGCGUAGGUGGUGGUUUAAGUCCGUUGUGAAAGCCCUGGGCUCAACCUGGGAAUUGCAGUGGAUACUGGGUCACUAGAGUGUGGUAGAGGAUAGUGGAAUUUCCGGUGUAGCAGUGAAAUGCGUAGAGAUCGGAAGGAACAUCUGUGGCGAAGGCGACUAUCUGGGCCAACACUGACACUGAGGCACGAAAGCGUGGGGAGCAAACAGGAUUAGAUACCCCAGUAGUCCCUGUCUCUUAUAC
rnacentral:rRNA from 1 species